AACGAACGCUUGCGGCGUGCCUAAGAAAUGCAAGUCGAGCGGGGGUAGCAAUACCCUAGCGGCGAACGGUCGCGUAACACGUAAGCAACCUGCCCCGAAGACCGGGACAACAGCUCGAAAGGGCUGCUAAUACCGGAUGUGGCCAUUGGGGGACAUCCCCUGGUGAUUAAAUCAAGCAAUUGGCUUCGGGAGGGGCUUGCGGCCUAUCAGCUAGUUGGUGGGGUAACGGCCUACCAAGGCGACGACGGGUAGCUGGUCUGAGAGGACGGCCAGCCGGACUGGGACUGAGAUACGGCCCAGACUCCUACGGGGGGCAGCAAUUAGGAAUCUUGCGCAAUGGGCGAAAGCCUGACGCAGCGACGCCGCGUGGAGGAGGAAGUCCUUCGGGAUGUAAACUCCUUUUGCCAGGGAAGAAACAAAUGACGGUACCUGGUGAAUAAGCCCCGGCUAACUACGUGCCAGCCGCCGCUGUAACAC
rnacentral:rRNA from 1 species